GCAGAAGCAUGUUGUACAACAUUGAAACUAUACAACUGACAGAAAUGCAAAGACUCAAAACAGGGGAAAAGAUACUACUGGCUUAAUACAACAUCUUAAUACUGGUUGGAGCAAACAAACCCACUCAUUUAAUAUCCUGACAUGUCUUGGUCUCUGCAUGUUCUAAAAGUAAUAUAGAGGGUGGAGAAGAAGUCAGGCAUACAACCAUGUUUCUGUAUGCAAGAACGGGUAAGACAACAGAUAUGAUUAGCUAUAUCUGAAUAUUAAGGAGCACAUU